GUGGCAGCUUGGGCUUCCCGCAGCGCGAGGGCGUCGACGUUGUGCGCUGCCAUCGGAUGCAGCAAAGCCGGAUCGAACUUGGUCUCGGCCAGUUCUAGCCACGUUCUGCUGGCCGUUGAAGCCGGGCGCCGCCCCUGACCCGGAGGCCAUGUAAUUGAACGGGUCGCCCCAGAUGGCGCCUCUAGCGCCAGUGUCGGCGAGCGGGUGGUUGCGUCGGUCAUAGAUCCCCAUGGGCGCCGUCGCUGAGGGCACGGGCAUGUACCUGCUGCCGGGGCUGCCGACCCUCUGCUCAGUCAUCGCCAAAUUAAACAGCAGUUCAUGCAAGGAAAUGUGGUCAUCAUAUAAGACAGGGAUCUGCACUUUGAUUUUGAUUAGCCCCAAGAUUUGUUACAUGCAGGCACUUCUAGACAUGUGCAAUAGUUUGUUAUAUCAGGUUAUUUUUGGAAGUUCUGGUGAUAUAACUAUGACAGACCUUGGGUCUAUUUAAUCCUGAGCUUAAUUAGGUGUCGAAGAUAUACACAGCAUGAGUAAAGUUUAGCUUCGUCGGGUUUUGCACAACACAUUGGAUGGAUCUUUGUAUAGCCUGCCUCUUCUUUUCUAUUUGCUUAAUUUUAUGUAAUUAAGAAUCGUUCUCAUUUGUAUUGGCUUGUAGUAGUACAACUUUAAACUUUGGAUAA